UACGAAGGGGGCUAGCGUUGUUCGGAAUUACUGGGCGUAAAGCGCACGUAGGCGGAUCGAUUAGUCAGGGGUGAAAGCCCAGAGCUCAACUCUGGAACUGCCUUUGAUACUGUCGAUCUGGAGCAGAGUAGAGGUGAGUGGAAUUCCGAGUGUAGAGGUGAAAUUCGUAGAUAUUGGGAAGAACACCGGUGGCGAAGGCGGCUCACUGGCUCGUUUCUGACGCUGAGGCGCGAAAGCGUGGGGAGCAAACAGG
rnacentral:rRNA from 1 species